rnacentral:lncRNA from 1 species
ACUACUUAAUUCAAACACCUGCAAUAUUACAUCAUGCAGAGGAAAUGGGAAGGAAAAAAGCAAAUACAAUUUCCCUGAUCUUAGAAACAUAGUUUGGAACACUGAAAGGGUCUUGAUUCCCCUAGCAGGCCUUGAACUGCUUUUUGGAAACCACAGGCAGAACAGAUAUACAUGAAAUUAUAAAUGGAGGCCAUCUGAAUGUGUCAAUGGGAGAGGAUUUUUAAGACAUUGUGGGACGUCCGCCUCACUUUCCUUCGUCUCUGCAG